rnacentral:rRNA from 1 species
AGCGAACGCUGGCGGCAGGCCUAACACAUGCAAGUCGAACGAACCUUUCGGGGUUAGUGGCGGACGGGUGAGUAACACGUGGGAACGUGCCUUUAGGUUCGGAAUAACUCAGGGAAACUUGUGCUAAUACCGAAUGUGCCCUUCGGGGGAAAGAUUUAUCGCCUUUAGAGCGGCCCGCGUCUGAUUAGCUAGUUGGUUGAGGUAAUGGCUCACCAAGGCGACGAUCAGUAGCUGGUCUGAGAGGAUGAUCAGCCACAUUGGGACUGAGACACGGCCCAAACUCCUACGGGAGGCAGCAGUGGGGAAUCUUGCGCAAGGGGCGAAAGCCUGACGCAGCCAUGCCGCGUGAAUGAUGAAGGUCUUAGGAUUGUAAAAUUCUUUCACCGGGGACGAUAAUGACGGUACCCGGAGAAGAAGCCCCGGCUAACUUCGUG